UACGGAGGGUGCAAACGUUGCUCGGAAUCAUUGGGCGUAAAGCGCACGUAGGCGGUCCAGCAAGUCGGGUGUGAAAGCCCUCGGCUUAACCGAGGAAGUGCAUUCGAAACUACUGGACUUGAAUACUGGAGAGGAUCGCGGAAUUCCCGGUGUAGAGGUGAAAUUCGUAGAUAUCGGGAGGAACACCAGUGGCGAAGGCGGCCAUCUGGGACAACACUGACGCUGAAGCACGAAAGCGUGGGGAGCAAACAGG
rnacentral:rRNA from 1 species